GUAAAAUAUCUACAUUGUAAUAUUAUAUGCAUUAGAAUGAAAAAAAAAAAAAAAGCUUGCAUGUGAAAAAAAUAUUCUAUUAUCCAAGUGAGCUAAUGGUGGAUAACAUGCCAUCUGUAUUAGAUUUGCUAGGAAUUGAAGAACAUGAACUUCAGGUGUGUAUAAAUCAGAGGUUAAGUAUUUCACCUUUAAAUCUGUUACUAAAAGCUAAGGAGAAAAUCCUGUGAAAGAAAAUGAGAGAUGAGUCACUGUAAUCCAUGUGAGCAGGGUUUCACCAUCAUCUACUUCUCAGUGCUGGUGCUUGAUGUGUACCAGAAGGCAAGACCUCCAUUCAGUGAACAUCUCAUAGUGCAUUUUACUGGGGCUUUGCACUGGAGCUCUGCUGGGAAAAAUGGUCACCUGAACUGUAGCCAAAGAAGCUUACUAUGGGAUCUGAAGAAAGAACAGCUGGGCAGCAGUACAGUUUAUCCUCUCACCCACUGCAGAAGGCAGCAAUCUACUGCACUGUUGCACACUUGUGUUACAUAGCCUGGGCUAUGUGGACACAGCCUUAACUUUUAGAAGCCGUAGACUGGAGUACAGAGGAAUGACACAACACUGAGUUCAUGAGGAUGACAGUAAGAAGCUCAUUUCCUUCCAGGAGCAGACCACACAAAAAGCACACACACACAGUGAGCAUAUCUGUAAGGUUUUCUGGGUUGGCAUAGUCAUGUCACCAUGCCAGCUAUCAGGAAGGUACACACUGCUUCUCCCAGGUGAGACUGCAGCCCAAGGCCGGCACCUGAUGUCUGUGGAACCAGGCCAAAAAGAGGCCAAAGUGAAGGAGCUUACAAAAUUAACCUUGCAUAUAUGAGAUGGAAUAUAAUGUUAGCGUUCUGUAACGUUUACACUUGAGGCAGAAAGAAGUACAAAACACUGUUUGGUGGAUUGCUGCAGUUCAGUGGCCAUCAGCUGUUCAUAAAUCAAGUGCACAGACAGACUGCAAACUGCCUUACUGCCAUGACAAAGAUACAGUGAUUAAUGUUUCCAUUAUGGAUUACGGAGGCACUGAGGUAAUAUUAUACAUAACUGUGAGAUGCUACCUUUUUUUUUUCACUUCUCAGCUGAAGGCCAAGCAAAGUUUAGUCAGUAUUACUAAAAAUUAAACUGCUGAGAGGCUGUGUAUGUUUAUAAUGUACGCAUGCAUACCCUUGCUAUAGUGUUUUCUAUUGUUGUAAAUUCUGCAACUAUUAUUCAUUAAGUUUAUUGGUUCUUUCUUGCACAUAUUUCCUUAUCCUGUGCUGUUGCAUAGGUUUCUGUACAGGCAGUAUUUUACCAUACAUGUCUAUGUAAUUCUUUCCUCCUCUGAGGUGCUUUUCCAGCCUUUGCAGUGUGGCAUCAAUCCGGUAUCUAUAAAUCAUCCAGCCUCAGAUUGGAGGACAAAAAAGGAAUGGAUAGAAAUUCCUCAGAUUCCUCAGAAUGAGAAUAGAAAGACAGAACUGGAUGGCUCUCAGCAGGAAGAUGGCAGUGCCCUUUCUGUAUGGGGCAC
rnacentral:lncRNA from 1 species